CUGAGAGUGCCAAAACAAGUUCCAGCUGAAGUAAGGGUAUUAGACUGACCCUUGGCAUGUGUUCCAACCCCAGCCUACAACAUAUUUGAGAUUCAUGAUGAUGACAAUGACCCAGAAGGGCAAGGUGCUCCCUGUAGUUCAGCAAGAUCAACGUACCCAAAUUUCAGCUGACAAAAAAGAAGGUGCAAAUUAUUGUGGUGAAAUAUAAACUCAGAAAUGUAUGAACACAUUUUCAGGAAUUCAGUCAACGUCCUUUUAAACAAAACUCUGUCCAUCUUUUGAAAGCAUAAAAAUCUAUGUGCAUUGUGAUCCCUUAAGUGUGCC
rnacentral:lncRNA from 1 species